rnacentral:tRNA from 1 species
GCGCAGGCCGAGGCACGGCCCACCGAGUGGACGCCGCGGGUCCGGCUCCGCCGGCCCGCCAGCGUCGCCCCCUUCGAGGGGGAGC